rnacentral:rRNA from 1 species
AUUGAACGCUGGCGGCAUGCCUUACACAUGCAAGUCGAACGGCAGCGGGGGAGAAGCUUGCUUUUCCUGCCGGCGAGUGGCGAACGGGUGAGUGAUACAUCGGAACGUGCCCUGUAGUGGGGGAUAACUAGUCGAAAGAUUAGCUAAUACCGCAUACGACCUGAGGGUGAAAGUGGGGGACCGCAAGGCCUCAUGCUAUAGGAGCGGCCGAUGUCUGAUUAGCUAGUGGUGGUGGGGUAAAGGCCUACCAAGGCGACGAUCAGUAGCUGGUCUGGGACGACAAUAAGCCACACUGGGACUGAGAAACGGCCCAGACUCCUACGGGAGGCAGCAGUGGGGAAUUUUGGACAAUGGGCGAAAGCCUGAUCCAGCAAUGCCGCGUGUGUGAAGAAGGCCUUCGGGUUGUAAAGCACUUUUGUCCGGAAAGAAAUGGCUCUGGUUAAUACCUGGGGUCGAUGACGGUACCGGAAGAAUAAGGACCGGCUAACUACGUGCCAGCAGCCGCCGUAA